rnacentral:rRNA from 1 species
AGUGGCGGACGGGUGAGUAACGCGUGAGAAUCUGCCUUGGGGUCGGGGACAACCACUGGAAACGGUGGCUAAUACCGGAUAAGCCGAUUGGUGAAAGAUUUAUUGCCCGAAGAGGAGCUCGCGUCUGAUUAGCUAGUUGGUGAGGUAAGAGCUCACCAAGGCAGCGAUCAGUAGCUGGUCUGAGAGAACGAUCAGCCACACUGGGACUGAGACACGGCCCAGACUCCUACGGGAGGCAGCAGUGGGGAAUUUUCCGCAAUGGGCGAAAGCCUGACGGAGCAAGACCGCGUGAGGGAGGAAGGCUCUUGGGUUGUAAACCUCUUUUCUCAGGGAAGAAGCUCUGACGGUACCUGAGGAAUCAGCCUCGGCUAACUCCGUGCCAGCAGCCGCGGUAAUACGGAGGAGGCAAGCGUUAUCCGGAAUUAUUGGGCGUAAAGCGUCCGCAGGUGGCGAUUCAAGUCUGCUGUCAAAGCACGGGGCUUAACUCCGUAAAGGCAGUGGAAACUGAAUAGCUAGAGUGCCGUAGGGGUAGAGGGAAUUCCCGGUGUAGCGGUGAAAUGCGUAGAGAUCGGGAAGAACAUCGGUGGCGAAAGCGCUCUACUGGACGGCAACUGACACUCAGGGACGAAAGCUAGGGGAGCGAAUGGGAUUAGAUACCCC